GAACACAGCCAAUAUAGCAUGGCACUCUAGUCACUAUACCUGUCCCUAACUCCUCCAAGAAGGCAUGGCCAGUCCUCAAGCAUUGCCUGUCUAUGUUGGAAGACAGGAAGAUGAAGUUUAGAGAGAAUGGCACAAUCCUGGCCUGGGCCUGAACCCAGGAACAGUAAGAAACGGUAUCUUUGGCGCUUUAGUAACAGUUUUCUGAAGUUGUGAUUGUCAAUAAAUCUUUUUU
ensembl:lincRNA Gm20484 predicted gene 20484